rnacentral:rRNA from 1 species
UACGAAGGGUGCAAGCGUUACUCGGAAUUACUGGGCGUAAAGCGUGCGUAGGCGGUUUGUUAAGUCUGCCGUGAAAGCCCCGGGCUCAACCUGGGAAUUGCGGUGGAUACUGGCAGGCUAGAGUGCGGUAGAGGGUGGUGGAAUUCCCGGUGUAGCAGUGAAAUGCGUAGAGAUCGGGAGGAACAUCUAUGGCGAAGGCAGCCACCUGGACCAGCACUGACGCUGAGGCACGAAAGCGUGGGGAGCAAACAGG